rnacentral:rRNA from 1 species
AUACGGAGGAUCCGAGCGUUAUCCGGAUUUAUUGGGUUUAAAGGGUGCGCAGGCGGCCAUUUAAGUCAGCGGUUAAAUCGUGGGGCUCAACCCCAUUCUGCCGUUGAUACUGGGAGGCUUGAUUGCGGUCGAGGUUGGCGGAAUUCGUUGUGUAGCGGUGAAAUGCAUAGAUAUGACGAAGAACACCGAUUGCGUAGGCAGCUGACCGGACCGCAAAUGACGCUCAUGCAGGAAAGUGCGGGGAUCGAACAGGAUUAGAUACCCUGGUAGUCCGCACAGUAAACGAUGAAUACUUGUUUUCGGCGAUAUAAUGUCGGAGGCAAAGCGAAAGCGAUAAGUAUUCCACCUGGGGAGUACGCCGGCAACGGUGAAACUCAAAGGAAUUGACGGGG